rnacentral:rRNA from 1 species
AGUCGAGCGGUAAGGCCUUUCGGGGUACACGAGCGGCGAACGGGUGAGUAACACGUGGGUGAUCUGCCCUGCACUUCGGGAUAAGCCUGGGAAACUGGGUCUAAUACCGGAUAUGACCUCCUAUCGCAUGGUGGGUGGUGGAAAGAUUUAUCGGUGCAGGAUGGGCCCGCGGCCUAUCAGCUUGUUGGUGGGGUAAUGGCCUACCAAGGCGACGACGGGUAGCCGACCUGAGAGGGUGACCGGCCACACUGGGACUGAGACACGGCCCAGACUCCUACGGGAGGCAGCAGUGGGGAAUAUUGCACAAUGGGCGAAAGCCUGAUGCAGCGACGCCGCGUGAGGGAUGACGGCCUUCGGGUUGUAAACCUCUUUCAGCAGGGACGAAGCGCAAGUGACGGUACCUGCAGAAGAAGCACCGGCUAACUACGUGCCAGCAGCCGCGGUAAUACGUAGGGUGCAAGCGUUGUCCGGAAUUACUGGGCGUAAAGAGUUCGUAGGCGGUUUGUCGCGUCGUUUGUGAAAACCAGCAGCUCAACUGCUGGCUUGCAGGCGAUACGGGCAGACUUGAGUACUGCAGGGGAGACUGGAAUUCCUGGUGUAGCGGUGAAAUGCGCAGAUAUCAGGAGGAACACCGGUGGCGAAGGCGGGUCUCUGGGCAGUAACUGACGCUGAGGAACGAAAGCGUGGGUAGCGAACAGGAUUAGAUACCCUGGUAGUCCACGCCGUAAACGGUGGGCGCUAGG